UGUCCUAUAUCCAAAAUAACCCAUAUCUAAUACAAAUUCAGCCUUGGAUGCACGAAAACUACAAUUCAACGGACCAAUUGAUGUCCUACAGACAUGAGACUCGUAUCUCGAGCAUUAAACCAAACCAUAUAAUAUUCUUUGCUUGCAGGUUCCACUUCCCAACUCAUGACUUUUAUUGCCACCUAAAAGGAGACUGAAAG
rnacentral:lncRNA from 1 species